GGCACCAUGGCUUAGCUGGCUAAAGCACCUGUUUAGUAAAUGGGAGUUCCUGGGUUCAACUCCCAAUGGUGCCU
rnacentral:tRNA from 1 species